AAAGCGUGCGCAGGCGGUUGUGCAAGUCUGAUGUGAAAGCCCCGGGCUUAACCUGGGAACGGCAUUGGAGACUGCACGACUAGAGUGCGUCAGAGGGGGGUAGAAUUCCACGUGUAGCAGUGAAAUGCGUAGAGAUGUGGAGGAAUACCGAUGGCGAAGGCAGCCCCCUGGGAUGACACUGACGCUCAUGCACGAAAGCGUGGGGAGCAAACAGGAUUAGAUACCCGAGU
rnacentral:rRNA from 1 species